rnacentral:tRNA from 1 species
ACCUGGCUGGCUUAGUUGGUAGUGCAUGUGACUCUCGAUCUCAGGGUUGUGAGUUCAAGCCCCACAUUGGGUA